rnacentral:antisense_RNA from 1 species
GGAAUAUGAAGGGAGAAUGAAACAAAACUGCUCCGCUCAGGGAACUUAGAAAUUGAAAAGGCAAGGCACAGGCUGGAAGAAAAUAUUUGAAAAAGAUUUAUGUGACAAAGAACUUCUUUCUGGAUUAUACAAAAUAUUUUUAGAUAUUCUUACAACUCUAAAAUAAGAUAACUCCUUAAAAAUGUGAAUUCUACCAAAGGAGAGAUAAAGAUGACAAAUACAGUCAAAGAUGCUGAAAAUCGCUUAUUUAUUAUUGGGAAGUUACAAGCUACAGCAUAAUGAGAUACCACUACAACCUACUAAACUGACUAAAAUUAAUCAGACUAACCAGGUGUUGGCAAGAAACAGGGACACUGAGACUCUCACACUGCUGGAAGGAAUGUAAAAUGCUAAAAUUUCUUUGGAAACGAGUUCAGUAACUUUUUAAACAGUUGAAAAUAGACCUAUCAUGCAAACCAGCAACCCCACUUCUAGGUAUUUAUCCAAGGAAAAUGACAACAUAUGCCCACACAAAGACUUGUGCACAAAUGACUGUAGCAGCUUUGUGGUAAUUGCUAAAAACUAGAAACUUGUCAAGUGUCCAACAGUUGACAUGCAGGCUGGACAUACAGUGGGUCUCGAUUGCUUGGAAGCCAAACUGAACUCACCAAGAAAAUAAGACAGGAGAAACUUCUCAAGAAGAAUAUCUCCAAAUUGCAGGAUCGAAUACCAUAAGAGGAAUUCUGGACUGAAGAAUUAUGAAGUCAUUUCAGACACUUCCAUAUAAUUUGUGUUAAUUAAAUUCUCACCGGUUGAGUUCCAUUCUACACUGGAAGAGCAUUUUUCCUGGAAAGGCUCCUCAAAAUGGACACCAUCAAGAGUCACCUCCUCAGUGAAGCCUUCCAUGGUUUCAUACCACCCAUCCCUAUCUGAAUGAAUGUAUCUUUGCUCUCCGUUAUCCCAGUAUUUUGCCUGGGCUUCUGUCACACUACUUUCAAUGUCUAUACCUCAGUUAUCGAAUCGAAAAACAAGAGUCAUCAGUCUCUAAGGUCCUUGCAAGCUUCAAAACUUUAUAUUUUUGUUAAUUACAACUGAAUAAAGCUGAAAAACUUAUUAUUUAUG